rnacentral:rRNA from 1 species
CCUACGGGAGGCAGCAGCCAAGAAUAUUCCGCAAUGGGGGAAACCCUGACGGAGCGACGCCGCGUGGAGGAUGAAGGCAUUCGUGUUGUAAACUCCUUUUUUAAGGGAAGAAUAAGUCUGGUAGGAAAUGACUGGAUGAUGACGGUACCUUAAGAAUAGGCCCCGGCUAAUUACGUGCCAGCAGCCGCGGUAAU